rnacentral:rRNA from 1 species
UGGGGAAUAUUGCGCAAAUGGGCGGAAGCCUGACGCAGCAACGCCGCGUGCGGGAUGACGGCCUUCGGGUUGUAAACCGCUUUCAGCNGGGACGAAGCGUGAGUGACGGUACCUGCAGAAGAAGCACCGGCCAACUACGUGCCAGCAGCCGCGGUGAUACGUAGGGUGCGAGCGUUGUCCGGAAUUAUUGGGCGUAAAGAGCUCGUAGGUGGUUGAUCGCGUCGAAAGUGAAAUCUCAGGGCUUAACCCUGAGCGUGCUUUCGAUACGGGUCGACUAGAGGAAGGUAGGGGAGAAUGGAAUUCCUGGUGGAGCGGUGGAAUGCGCAGAUAUCAGGAGGAACACCGAGUGGCGAAGGCGGUUCUCUGGACC